ensembl:lincRNA
CUGGCCCUCCCUCCCAUCCUCUGACAUCUAAACGGGGAAUGAGGUCGGUGUGAGUGUUUAAAAGAACUUUAAGCACCCGCUCUUCCUUUGUUGGUGGUUUUCAGCUUUCUUUUUUUUUUUUUUUUUUAAUGUGAAAUUUGAUUUCGUAACAAAUUGUAGCAAAUACGACUUAGUCCGAAGGAAUUCAUUACCGAGGCGCUGGGGAAGGGGGUAUGAAGGGUAAAUUCUGAGGUCCUUUGCUAUUCUGGUCACCCUCCUCCCCCCAGUGGGCGAGGACAAACACACCCUGGGGAGUAGGGAGCGAAAAGAAGCCAGCAGUUUUCUGGAGCCGAGAAAACCUGUGUUUUUGCGCUUAGGUUACUUUUAUCUGGCUGAAACUUUACCUAUAAGCUUUUGAGGCUCAAACACUGAGUCUUUGUUCUGCAUGGGACUGCCGCUGCCACUUAAAGAGAUCGCAGAUAAUGUCCCUGAUUUAAGAUCAGUGCUCAAUGCACAUUAACUUUCUUUCUUUCUUUCUUUUUUAAGCUCUGCCUCUAACCUACGGAGGGAUCACGCGGCAGUGGGGGGCAGAUAAAAGUCCUUUGGCCGAGGGUCACCUCCGUCCUUGUUGUUCACUUGAGAGCAGUGGAGAGGAAAACGGUCCCCACGGGCGGACUUUGGCUUCUGGAGCCGCGGAGCCCAGCGGUCCGGGCCUCCCCGAGCUCCGCCUGGUCCAAGAGUGACUUGGGAGAGCUGGCUCCAGGAGGCGGACCUCGGCCUAGUUUGCUGGCUGGAAUAGAGCUCUAUUUCGAGGCAAUCAAUCAAUCUGCAGAAAACAAAAAUGGAAGUCGAGGUUUGGGAAGAGUUGUCUCAUCCCCAACUUGAGUGGUGCGGGCUGGGGGCGGAGACUCGGGACUGAUGAGAAGCCCUUUUUCCCACCUCAGCUCCUUUCCCUGGACUUCCAGAAGGAAGAAUUACCCUCUUCAGCCCCCUUGUUCCCCAUACCCAUCCCCGCGUGGCCGCCGAUACUUUUCCGCCCCUCUUUUUCCUUUCAAGCGAGAAAAGCCUAAUUCCCGAGCCAGUGGAGUCGGUCCUCUCGCCCCUCCCGCUCCCACGCGGGUCCCCCUCUUCAGCCAUCGCUACUGCCACCACCUCGGUUCCACUCAAUCGAUUUUUGCUGCAUGUCAACACUUAUUACCGAUUUUAUUUAUUUAUUUGAGAGAGAGAGAGCAUCUGAGGGGAGAAAGUCAGAGGGAGAAGCAGACUUCCCAUGGAGCUGGGAGCCCGAUGCAGGACUCCAUCCUGGGACUCCGGGAUCAUGACCUCAGCUGACGGCUGUGGCUUAACCAACUGAGCCACCCAGGCGCCCUUAAGUCUUAAUUCUUAAUUCAGUUUUGGGGGUCUCCUAAGAGCUAUAUUAUUUUUUUGAAUAAUAAAAAUAAAAUACACAGAAGAUGAGUUAAUGUUCUCAUCCUUAAAAAUAUCUUAGGAAUUAUUGCUACGAUAAUGUUUACAAUUAUAAAAAUGUGUCUGUAAUACUUUACUUAUUAGAUAAUUGUGUUUAAUGUAAUAAUAUUUUAAAGCAGAAAUGGGGAAAACAAAACUAUAGUAUUUUACCAAUUGUCUCUGAAGUUAUUAAAGAAGUCUUUCUCAGUUUUACCAUCCAUAAAUUGGGAUUAAUAUUUAUGAACAACAUAUAAGAAUGUUAUGCAAACUUUGACUUAUCUAUUGUGCUUUGAACAUGAAGAUACUGGUAAUUGUGAAAUAUUUUUAAAGAACAGUUUCAUCCUCAAAUUCAUUAAGAGAGUAAUCGUAUUUCCACUAGAAUAAUGUAUAUUAAAAUGCUAAACUUAAGUCUGAAGUAAACAUUUUUUUUUUUUUGAUGUUACACAGGCUCAGUGAGCACUUCCCCAAGAAUGUAAAAACCCAUUUGUAAGUUGCUGUCUGAGAAAAAUUUUAUGUUCAAGGUCUUUCCUUAUCACUGCUCCUCCAUCCUAAGCCUCCUAAGUUAUUUUUCUAUCAUCAUUAUUUUUAUUUUAUAUUACCAGUUAGAUUAAGUAAAAAAAUAUAUAAGGCAAAGUAUUCAUAAAUACAUCAACAUUCAAACAUGGAUACUUGCCUUUCAAAACGUUAGUCAGCAUGCCGAGAUUUUUAAAUUGCAGUUCAAAGUUCUUGAAUUCUUUGCUUUAUAACUGAGGGGGAAUGGCUGCUUUUUUCACUUCUUAAAAAUAUGUCCC